rnacentral:rRNA from 1 species
UACAGAGGGUGCGAGCGUUAAUCGGAAUUACUGGGCGUAAAGCGUGCGUAGACGGCUAUCUAAGUCGGGUGUGAAAGCCCCGGGCUCAACCUGGGAAUUGCAUUCGAGACUGAAUAGCUAGGGUACGGUAGAGGAGAGCGGAAUUCCCGGUGUAGUGGUGGAAUGCGUAGAGAUCGGGAGGAACACCAGUGGCGAAAGCGGCUCUCUGGUCCAAAACUGACGCUGAGGGGCGAAAGCGUGGGGAGCGAACGGG